AAACCGCAGACGGCCGCCGCUUCACUAUAUUUUCAGUGUGGGGGAUGCAAAUGCUAUUUUGACAGCUUAUGCGACGUCACAGAACAUCAAAAAACAAUGUGCCUCUGAGGCAGAAGAGACAGCCUCUACCGCCAUGGUAGCUGCUGCAGAGGCCCCUCCAGCACCUGUGGCUGCAGGGACAGUUUCACUUUGCAUUCGAAAGUGUUUCUUGAAGUCUUUCCCGGAGUAAAGAGGCACUAUAGUCUCUGCAGUCCUUGACCCGCACAGGACUUGGCGGCCUAUCCUCUACCUCUUCUCCUUGCCUUGGCAGCCUCUCUUCCUCUUGCCUCAGCACUAGUUUGGUGAACUUCACUCUUCUCUGGUGGCAGGAGACUAUGCCUGUAGCUUGCAGCAGACACGUGAGGGUCGGGAGUAGCAGGGGUGCUGGCGGCGGAGGUGGAAGCCUCGCCACUACUACCACCACGUGUCUCAGGCUCCUCACUUUCUUCUUUUUUCCACCUUUUCAAGGCUCUCUGGCGGGCUGCUUCAAUCUGAGCCUUUCUUUUACCACUUACACGUGGCAUUGUCACAAUUUGGGAACCCAACACGUGUAAAAUACGAUCAACAGGUAGGCUGCACGCACGCGCAAUCGAUUGGUACUGAGGGAGUAGCGUCUUCCUCACCCUCACUGCCUGAUCCUAAACUAUCGUACAAGUACAUCACG